rfam:Salmo salar isolate Sally breed double haploid chromosome ssa16, whole genome shotgun sequence.
CACACCCAUUACUGUAAGUCGCUUUGGAGAAAAGUGUCUGCUAAAUGGAAUAUA